GGCCUUGCCUUGCAGGGAGUGGCUGACCACCUGCCUGGGGAUGAAGACCUCAGACCUUAUGUAUGCUCAUUCCCAAUGACCAACAUCCAUUUUCGCCUUUACUUGACAUCCACCUGGAUCUCAAGGAGUCACAUCUUUGAUGUACAUAUACAGUCACUUAACUAAGAGGAGCCUACAGCAUCUUACUAACUACAACUCAAGCUGCAUUCUAGAGGAUCUUACAUAAGCAACUCUACACACCUACAUCUUUUCUCAAAAUGAACGUGACUAAACUUAUCUUUGUGGCUUAACUUUGCCUGCUGACUAUUGCUAUGCCAGUCAUGUUUGGCAAAAAACCAAGCAUGACAACAUGCAUGGUCAUCUGUAAGAAAAUGUUCCAGUUCGUCCACAUUUCUGUUCUCCAUUACAUGCAAGACAGAAGAAUCUGUGACUCUCAUGGCUGCUAAAACAGAAAAACUGCAGAGUGACAGUGGCUCUGCCCCUGUAAGUGGCAACACCUCAGCACUAACUGAAGAUAUCCUUGAAGAGUCUGAUGAUUCAGGAUAUGUUGAAGAGAUUUGUAACUGCUGCCCUGAGGUCUUUGGAUGUGCAGCCAUUGCCUCACUGAUCACAAGCUACUUAUAUGCCUAUGCUUUCUUAAGAAGAAGAUGCUACUGACAUUCUGCUAAUUUUAUUAACAUUUUGAGAAUACUUCUCCAGUUGCAGCAUAAGUUCAAGCUGGUUUCUUCCUUCAUAUCUUCUUAUAUUUCAUCAUAUGAAUAAUGGAUAGAGGUUACGUCUACUACAUCUUGAAUUAUCUAGUUUGAUUCAGACUAGAAGCAUUUUGGCAGCUGUAGCCAAAUAUCUGGGUUCAAGCAAACAUUGUCUUUCUUUGCCUACAAUUCAAGGUUUUGGCUGAAUGCUAUAUGCUGAAAACACUGCAAAAUUAAUUCUUUACAUAUUCAACUUACAGCACUAGGAAUUUAUUCUCUUUCCAUAUGCAUAACUAAAGUUCACAGCCCUAAAGUCACUGCAAACUGCAAAUAAUUGAUUUGCAAAGCGUUGACUUUAGGUGAGAAAAAAAUUCAAACAUGCCUAAUCCAGUUGUAUAAGUAGAUAUUUCCAGUGCAAUAAUAUUCAAAGUAACUAUAAAUGAAGAAAAGGAAGGAAGGGAGGGAGGGAGGGAGGAAGGAAGGAAGGAAGGAUAAAACCACAACAACACUACUUUAAUUACAUUAAGGCUGUCACAAAUAUGAGCAAAGCAGAGCCAGGAUCAAAAAACAAUCCUUCAAUCAUAGCUGCAAUACUGACACUCAUAUUGCAGUGAAGCUAAAUCACUAUGAUCAUCAGAAAUGUUAUUUAUCAACAAUCUGUGUGAGCAUACACACUCUGCAUGCCAGGAUCACGUUCCUUAAGUAUUUGUUUCAGUCCUUUUAUCAGGUUAAACUUAGAAGUCAUGCAAUUUUUUUUUUAUUUUUUUUUUCCCCAGGUAGUUUAUUUCUUCAGACUUUUUCAGCCCUUGGUUUUGUCAAGAUCAGAAUCCUUAGCAUGGAAAUAAUAUAAAAUGUUGUUAGAUAGCUUUUAGAAAUACAAAAAGUUUGAUUAAGCUGCUGUUUACCCUCAAAAUUCUACUUUUGAAUAUUAAUUUUAUAUUAUUAUUAUAUUGCAGAUUUUGUUAAAAGUAGCUAAGCUAGUUGAAUAGUGUGAAAGAAUAGAUCUGACUUGAGAUACUGUUUUCCUUCCUACACUGAAGAUUAAUACCUCCAGAAAUAUGAAAGCACAAGGAUAAAAGUAUAUUUUCAAAGUUAAUUCGACCAGUGACCAUUAUGACCAACAGAUGAAAAUAAAUAUUUUGUUUUCAUUGUCAUGUGUCCUGAAAAGAAGCAGGAUUCACUGAGAAAGAAAAGCAUAAAAGGGGGGAAAUUAAAGGUCAACACUGAUC
ensembl:lncRNA